CUCUCCCCGACAGGCCCCUGGCUACCACUCGCCUCCUCCCCACCCCAGAUCCGUCGACCUCACCUUGCCCACCACCGCUCACCGCCAGCUCCGACGACCCCCACCUUGGCGCCCAUCCACGAGCUGGAGCAGCCGGAUGAGGACGAACCCACCGAGACUGCCUCUUCCUCCAGCGACCACGCCACCGGCCCCAGCGCCACCAGGACGUCGCGGCACCACCACCGAGCUUCCAGCUCUCCCCGUCCCAAUCCCCUCCUCCGGCCGGCCGCUCCUUCCGCACCACCAGAAGCAGCACAGGCGGACAGCAGCAGCUGCGCCCGCCUCCCGCCCACGUCAGCAGAAGCCGUGCUCGAUCCGGUCAAAGAUGAUAUUUUUACACGGGCGGCGGUGCUCGAUCCGUGCUGGAGCAGUGGGAGGAGGACGGCGGCGCAGCGGGCUUCUGUUCUUCCCUGCUGUCGAGAAGCAGUCCCGGCCUGUUGACCCGCGCGCCCUCGUCCUGGCCGUGGCCGCUACCUGGGCUGCUCGCAAGGCAGCGCAACAUGUCGGGGUCGCCGACGACCCUGAGGAGGAAGAGGAGUGCUUGGUCCGGCGCUCCGUCUCCUGCACCCUGCCGCCACGCGCUCCUUGAAGAUGCCCAGCCAGCCAUGAAGUAAUUCAAGUUCAAGGAUCUCCUCAAAGGAAAGGAAGAUGGCUGUACUCACAUAUUCUCCAUGUCCCAUCCAUCAGAAUGCAGUGAGGACUUGAUGGAAAAUGGAGACGUUUGUAUCAGGGAGUUUGUUGACAAGAGCUCCAUACUGACUACUAUCAGGUUCAAGGAGACUCGUCAUCAUAGUCACUGUUCUAUGUAAUCUAUCAUAACAGUGGCAGUUUCCUCCCUCAAGUUGCUCGGAUCCAGUUAGGCAAACAAAGUAUGCAGUGAACUCUAGUGCAUAAUCUUUUUUGAGGGUACGCCAAAGGCCAUUAUGUCUUACUGCAAUGUAUCUCAGCCCAUUACAACUGAACCAAAUAUAAAUAUAUUACCAUUAGAUGCCCAAGAUUGAAAACACAAAAUGACCUAUCAGAUGCUGAACAUUUUCUUACUUAUUAAGAAAACACUAAGCUAAUGCCUGAAGGUAUGGUUCUCCCAGUUGUGCAUAUCAUAUUUUGUUGAUUGCAGAAGAGUAUUUAAGAUCAAGAAUUACACUAUUUAUCUUCUCUUUUAGAGAAAAAACAGAUGAAGUAUGCUUAUGUUUCUAACUUUAACAUUCUGGAGUACAGCCUCUUUGAGGAGCGCUAAGCUUAGCAAGGUUGAAUUGCUGUUCUUUUUUUGUCAAAGCAUGUCAGUAGACGCCAUUAAGAGAUUAAGCAACAUCUAACGGCUUCACUGAUGUUGUCAAUUUUCUGCUGAUUUGUCAAUCUUGCUUUUGUUUUCACAGGUGGACAGAUGGACCUGUUCAAGUCAGUUUUCUUGGCCCUUGCCUAGCCUAGCCUAGCCUAGCCUAGCUGCUUGAAAGGAAGGGGGCGAUGGAGGUGGUGGCAGAGGCCGGCGCGCAGCAGCCCUGGGACCAGUUCAAGGAGGAGGUGGAGAUCAUGGAGGAGCAGCCGAAGGAGCAGAAAGGAGCAGCGAGCAGCAGCGGCGGCUGACCUCGAGCUCUCGAUUGGAGUGGAGGGAGGCGGCCGACGAGGGAUCUGCGGCCGACGGGGAAGGAUCUGGAGCUGCGGCGGAGCAGGCAACCAGUGGGGAAAGGCGGCCGCCGGUGAGGGAGCUUCUGAUCGCGGCGGGGAAGGGCGACCAAAGAGGGGAUCGGGCUCUGAUUGGAGCGGCGCAGGCAGCCGGCGGGGAAGGACGAGCAACGGAGGAAGACGACGGCCCGAGCGAUUUCAAAUCGGGGGGUCAGUUUCGUAAUUUCACUUGUUUUCACCUGGUCGGACCCCCCACGACAAUUAUUUCGGAACGGAGGGAGUAUUAUAUUAUAUUUACUAAUUGGAGACACUAAUCGAGACUCCAUGUUAAUCCUCAUAAUACUAAGUUAAUUAACCGCA